CAAGUCGAACGGCAGCAUGACCUAGCAAUAGGUUGAUGGCGAGUGGCGGACGGGUGAGUAACGCGUGGGGAUCUGCCCUAAAGUGGGGGACAACCCGGGGAAACUCGGGCUAAUACCGCAUAAUACUUUGCGAAGGAAAGGGUGCAUUUAUGUACUCGCUUUAGGAUGAACCUGCGUCCGAUUAGCUAGUUGGGGAGGUAAAAGCUCGCCAAGGCGAUGAUCGGUAGCUGGUCUGAGAGGAUGAUCAGCCACACUGGGACUGAGACACGGCCCAGACUCCUACGGGAGGCAGCAGUGGGGAAUAUUGGACAAUGGGGGCAACCCUGAUCCAGCAAUGCCGCGUGUGUGAAGAAGGCCUGCGGGUUGUAAAGCACUUUCGUUGGGGAGGAGAGGGUGACGGGGAAAAGCCGUCACCGGAGACGUUACCUAAAGAAGAAGCACCGGCUAACUCUGUGCCAGCAGCCGCGGUAAUACAGAGGGUGCAAGCGUUAAUCGGAAUUACUGGGCGUAAAGCGCGCGUAGGUGGUUUGUUAAGUUGGAUGUGAAAUCCCCGGGCUUAACCUGGGAAGGUCAUCCAGUACUGAUAGACUAGAGUACAGUAGAGGGAAGUGGAAUUUCCGGUGUAGCGGUGAAAUGCGUAGAUAUCGGAAGGAACACCAGUGGCGAAGGCGGCUUCCUGGCCUGAUACUGACACUGAGGCGCGAAAGCGUGGGGAGCAAACAGGAUUAGAUACCCUGGUAGUCCACGCUGUAAACGAUGAGAACUAGCCGUUGGGUCCUUAAAACGACCAAGUGGCGCAGCUAACGCGAUAAGUUCGCCGCCUGGGGACUAC
rnacentral:rRNA from 1 species